GCACAAUGGGCGCAAGCCUGAUGCAGCCAUGCCGCGUGUAUGAAGAAGGCCUUCGGGUUGUAAAGUACUUUCAGCAGUGAGGAAGGUGGAUAUGUUAAUAGCAUAUUCAUUUGACGUUAGCUGCAGAAGAAGCACCGGCUAACUCCGUGCCAGCAGCCGCGGUAAUACGGAGGGUGCGAGCGUUAAUCGGAAUUACUGGGCGUAAAGCGCAUGCAGGUGGUUUGUUAAGUCAGAUGUGAAAGCCCGGGGCUCAACCUCGGAAUUGCAUUUGAAACUGGCAAACUAGAGUACUGUAGAGGGGGUAGAAUUUCAGGUGUAGCGGUGAAAUGCGUAGAGAUCUGAAGGAAUACCGGUGGCGAAGGCGGCCCCCUGGACAGAUACUGACACUCAGAUGCGAAAGCGUGGGGAGCAAACAGGAUUAGAUACCCUGGUAG
rnacentral:rRNA from 1 species